GACGAACGCUGGCGGCGUGCUUAACACAUGCAAGUCGAACGGAAAGGCCCUGCUUUUGUGGGGUGCUCGAGUGGCGAACGGGUGAGUAACACGUGAGUAACCUGCCCUUGACUUUGGGAUAACUUCAGGAAACUGGGGCUAAUACCGGAUAGGAGCUCCUGCUGCAUGGUGGGGGUUGGAAAGUUUCGGCGGUUGGGGAUGGACUCGCGGCUUAUCAGCUUGUUGGUGGGGUAGUGGCUUACCAAGGCUUUGACGGGUAGCCGGCCUGAGAGGGUGACCGGCCACAUUGGGACUGAGAUACGGCCCAGACUCCUACGGGAGGCAGCAGUGGGGAAUAUUGCACAAUGGGCGGAAGCCUGAUGCAGCAACGCCGCGUGCGGGAUUACGGCCUUCGGGUUGUAAACCGCUUUCGCCUGUGACGAAGCGUGAGUGACGGUAAUGGGUAAAGAAGCACCGGCUAACUACGUG
rnacentral:rRNA from 1 species